rnacentral:rRNA from 1 species
GAUCAUGGCUCAGAACGAACGCUGGCGGCAUGCCUAACACAUGCAAGUCGAACGAGACCUUCGGGUCUAGUGGCGCACGGGUGCGUAACGCGUGGGAAUCUGCCUUGGUUCGGAAUAACAGUUAGAAAUGACUGCUAAUACCGGAUAAUGUCUUCGGACCAAAGAUUUAUCGCCCAGGGAUGAGCCCGCGUAGGAUUAGCUAGUUGGUGAGGUAAAGGCUCACCAAGGCGACGAUCCUUAGCUGGUCUGAGAGGAUGAUCAGCCACACUGGGACUGAGACACGGCCCAGACUCCUACGGGAGGCAGCAGUGGGGAAUAUUGGACAAUGGGCGAAAGCCUGAUCCAGCAAUGCCGCGUGAGUGAUGAAGGCCUUAGGGUUGUAAAGCUCUUUUACCCGGGAUGAUAAUGACAGUACCCGCAGAAUAAGCCCCGGCUAACUUCGUG